rnacentral:rRNA from 1 species
AACCAGCACCUCAAGUGGUCAGGAUGAUUAUUGGGCCUAAAGCAUCCGUAGCCGGCUCUGUAAGUUUUCGGUUGAAUCUGUACGCUCAACGUACAGGCUGCCGGGAAUACUGCAGAGCUAGGGAGUGGGAGAGGUAGACGGUACUCGGUAGGAAGGGGUAAAAUCCUUUGAUCUAUUGAUGAACACCAAAUGCGAAGGCAGCUCACUGGGCCGCUAUUGACGCUGAGGAGCGAAAGCUAGGGGAGCAAACAGG